GAUAAUCUUUUCUCAGGUAUUUGUUCCUCUUACGAUCUUCAUUUUGAUUGAGAACAGGCGGGACCAAUGGCCAUUUGGACUCAGAGUCCGAUUGAUCUGUUUUCAGGUUGCCAUCGAAAGAGCAGGACGACGAGGGCUGGGUAAACAAAAGAGGACAAGUAAGGGUGUAGACGCAUGCCUGUCUGGACAAGUCACACACACCACCCAGCAUUGUCCCACCCACACGACCAUCUGAUUGGUCACAACCGUAGCGUGGGCUCUUGGGAGUUGGUUGCGGCACUGACUGUUGAGUAAAAUCGUCUCAGAUCCGAGUCGAGGAUCUCGUUGAGCUAUCCACUUGGCGAAUGGCUCAAAAGAAAGCCUCUUUGUCUACCUGUGCGCCCGACCUGUCACUCUGCGACGAUGGAUGAGACUUUCAGCUCUGCAAAUUAAGGAGCGUCGUCUAGAAGCGAAAUGUGAGAGGAGCGGGAGGAAGGGAAACAGAAGAUGAAGGCCAAACUGCUGCCAAGUGAUAUAAAGCUUAUAAGAAUUUGAUUUGUUAGUGCUGAGCAGAGGUGGAAAAGGAUCGGCGGGAAGUACGCUAUACUGCAUGCAUGACGACGUGUGACGGAGGAUGCACAUGUCCUACCUGUUCUGCUGCUCCUGCUGCAGAAGUUGAACGGCAAUCUUCCUCAGAUCCAGCACCUCCUUCAGCUCGUCAUCCUCCUCCUCAAGGAGCUGCUCCUUGUCUGAGCUAUAACAUAGCCACAAAGGAUGGAAAGGAAAACAGUGUUUUAGUUUAUUUAAAUAGUGUAAUAUAAAUGCCUUGGUAUAACUUUAUAUAGCACUAAUUUACCACCACUGUCUCUUGCCUCACUUUUGCCUGUACCUGACUAAUAUUAGGGCCAUUUUACCCAAUCAAUGCCACAACAAAAUAAAAUGUGUAAAUGCAAAAUAUA